rnacentral:lncRNA from 1 species
AAGUGUUGAACAAUCUGUUGAAAUGUCUAUAUUUCAAUAAUGCUAUGUAAUUGUUUAUUAUAAAGGAACUGUGUAGUCAAACUGUACUGUUAGUUUGUUUCCGUACGAAUGUCAAUAAGGAAACUUGAACUUUUAUAACAGUUUUAGUUACUGGAAAGUGGUUUCCGAGUCACAUCUAUAUUGGAUUUUGUUAUGAGUGGUAAUGUUCUGAUGGACGUAAUCCAAGUUUAUAUAUUUGCGUUGAAAAUGGUGAAAAUCCAUGUUCAAUUGAGAUUUGAUAUAAACACCACGCAACAAUGACCAUACACAUUUCGUUGUGGUUUGUUUUAAGGUCGCUUUACACGAAGUUCAUUACUUGCUUUUAUAUAUUAUACCACUAUAUGUAUACAUGAUUCUUGUUAUAAAGGCAAAGGGUGCAGCUUGGUUUGAGAUGAAAAAUCAGUCACGACGGGUUCCGAAUAUCGAGUAAAAUAUGAAAAUCAACGGGAAUUUUGAGGAAAGCACACACACGUGCUCUUGCAUCCUUCAUAGUUGAUGUAUUCAUAGGCAAAAAAUGGAACAUCAAAACGAUGGUAUAAACUAAGUCACAAAAUGACAUAUUUUUAAAUAAACUUUUGUUUCUAUGUCAGACUAAAUUCAAAAUGCAUAUCUAUCAAUUAAUUCUCCCAAAUAACUGUUAGUAGUACAAGCUGUUGUUAGCCAAAAAUGUGUAGUGAUCAUUUAGGUACUAAAUUCUGCUGUAAAUUGCAAUAUUUAAAAAAAUAUCAGAAAAAUCCAUAAGAUAUGAUAAACUUUGUCAUUGCAGAACCUGAGGGCUUGUGGGUAAUUUUGUUGUGUUUACACCAAAAUGAGAAUGACAUGUCACUGAUGAUUGGAUAUCCAUUGUUUAGGAUGACAUGUCACUGAUGAUUGGAUAUCCAUUGUUUAGAAUGACAUGUCACUGAUGAUUGGAUAUCCAUUGUUUAGAAUGACAUGUCACUGAUGAUUGGAUAUCCAUUGUUUAGGAUGACAUGUGGAUAUCCAUUGUUUAGGAUGCUGUUUUGGUUGUACAGUUUUGAAAUAUUUCCUAGAAUUCAUUAUAUUCUAAUUGUUUAGAGUACUUGAACUAGGUUUGUAAAGAUACAGUGAUCAUGUUUGCUAGUCUUGUGAAUGUAAAUAUUGUUAUUUGAUGAAGGGAGUUUUGGUAAAAACAUUUGUGUGUAACAGUGUAAAGUUAUUUAGUACUUAACCAACUUUUUGGACUGAUACAUUACUGUUUUUAGUUUUCUAAAUUUGUUUGCAAUAGAAGAAGAUUCUGUUUUUGUGUGUUACUAAGAUGAUUGCAUGGUAUUUGUAAAAUGGAAUUCUUUUGAUAGUGUUGAAGUGAAUCUCUGCAUUGCAGGUUAUUGUAUUUUGCGUUAAGCCAAAUUAUGAUAUGAUAAUGGAAUUAGAACAUGAAAAAUGAUCAGGGGCUAAUCUAAGAACAUUUAAAAAAAAUAAAGUGACAUUUUGAUUAAUCUUGGAUAAAAAAAAAAUUGUGGAACCCCUUAUUAUAUGUGCAUGUUUAAAUAUGUCUGAAUUGAGAAUGAAAAGAGGUAUACUACUAAUUGCAUGUAAAUUAUGUUUUUAAAUUUAAAAUGUGGAUUACAGCCAAAUAUAUAGUGAAACUGACACAGAUUUGAUCUCAUGCUAUAUGAAUGUACACAGAAUCAUGCUGACAAAAUAUUUCAAGUGCAAAGAAAUGAUGCAACAUUGAAUUUAGUGAUACUUUUAUGAUGCAAUGUUAUUAUAAGAUGAUAGUCUAAAAACAGAUUUUGUUCAAAUUUAUUAACUUUUGGUAGAAAAUUUUCACUACAUGGUUUAAGUUUUAUUUUUUAAAGAGUAGAAAUUCUGAUUUGUUAAUGUACUGCUUCUAUUUUGUGUUAGUAUAUCGUAUACAAAAUCAUCGUUUCAACAUUCAUGAACUUUCAUUUUCUAACUUUAUUAUACAACCAAUAUUUCACUAAUACAAGAAAGCACUUCUGAAAUAUAUUGUUUGUAUAUAUAUCAUUGUCAUUUUUGAUUCCACAGUGAUUAGAUUUGUCUCUUGUGGAUACAUAUAUAUAUAUUUAUUAUGUUCUUGUAUGACAAGAAUUAACAUGGAGUAUAAAUACAACUUAAGAAUGUGUGAUAAUUUAUACAAAAUUGUUCCUUUGGUGAUAAAAUACAUUAAAAG